GACGAACGCUGGCGGCGUGCUUAACACAUGCAAGUCGAACGGUAAGGCCCUACGGGGUACACGAGUGGCGAACGGGUGAGUAACACGUGGGUGAUCUGCCCUGCACUUCGGGAUAAGCCUGGGAAACUGGGUCUAAUACCGGAUAGGACCACUGCCUGCAUGGGUGGUGGUGGAAAGCUUUUGCGGUGUGGGAUGGGCCCGCGGCCUAUCAGCUUGUUGGUGGGGUGAUGGCCUACCAAGGCGACGACGGGUAGCCGGCCUGAGAGGGUGUCCGGGGACGCGGGGACUGAGAUACGGCCCAGACUCCUACGGGAGGCAGCAGAGGGGAAUAUUGAACAAUGGGCGCAAGCCUGAUGCAGCGACGCCGCGUGAGGGAUGACGGCCUUCGGGUUGUAAACCUCUUUCAGCACCGACGAAGCGCAAGUGACGGUAGGUGCAGAAGAAGGACCGGCCAACUACGUGCCAGCAGCCGCCGUAA
rnacentral:rRNA from 1 species